UGGUUAAUACCCUGAGUAGAUGACGGUACCGGAAUAAGAAGCACCGGCUAACUACGUGCCAGCAGCCGCGGUGAUACGUAGGGUGCGAGCGUUAAUCGGAAUUACUGGGCGUAAAGCGUGCGCAGGCGGUUUUGUAAGACAGGCGUGAAAUCCCCGGGCUUAACCUGGGAACUGCGUUUGUGACUGCAAGGCUAGAGUAUGGCAGAGGGGGGUGGAAUUCCACGUGUAGCAGUGAAAUGCGUAGAGAUGUGGAGGAACACCAAUGGCGAAGGCAGCCCCCUGGGCCAAUACUGACGCUCAUGCACGAAAGCGUGGGUAGCAAACAGGAUUAGAUACCCUGGUAGUCCACGCCCUAAACGAUGUCAACUAGGUGUUGGGAGGGUAAAACCUUUUAGUGCCGUAGCUAAC
rnacentral:rRNA from 1 species